CAGGGGCUUGUCCCUCUCCGGAGGGGCUGGAAGGGUUUGUCCUGAGGAGGGCUGGAGCAGCAGGAGGGAUCAGGGGGUGCCAGCCAGGGGUUUGUCCCUCUCCUGAGGGGCUGGAGCAGGAGGAAGGGCCAGGGGAUGUCAGCCAGGGGUUUGUCCCUCUCCUUCCUGUCUGGAAGGGUUUAUCCUGAGGGGCUGGAGCAGCAGGAGGGCCCAGGGGGUGCCAGCCAGUCCCUGUUAUCCCAGUUUGUCCCUGUCCCUGGUGCUUGA